CAGGCACACUAACCCCAAAGGGAGGAGGCGGGGCCCGCGCAUCGAGGCCCCGCCCCUUCAUUUGCAUAACGUCAUCUUUCCGCCCACCACAGCCAAUCGCGGCCCGGGAGCCGGCUCGCUGGCGGCGCCAGGCCACGCUCUCUCAUUAACAUCCCGCUCCCGGUGGCGCAGGGGAGCCGGCCAAAGUUCCUGGCAAAGUAGCGAGCGAAGGAGCGCAGAGCACUGGCGUCUGGGCUGGGGAGGAGCGGGUCCGAGCGAGGACGGAGAGGGGACAGAGGGAAAGGGAGGCGGGUGUCUUCCUCAGGAAUUUGAGCUGGGGACCUGCAUCCUGGCCAUUGCAGUCCUUUAGCAUCCUCGCCGCGCCCUGAGCGCGCUGGAGGCUCGCAGGCUGCGCCCUCCCCGGGCUGAUGCCGCGUCCUGCUCCGCUGUUCUGGGACGUCGGGGACAAAAGUGGAGGAGACGGGAGAGCCCAGGCAGAAAAAGCAGGACGCGCGUCCCAGACAUGAUCGCUGGUAACAGAUGCCUGGUUCACUCUCAUCCUGGCCAUACCUGAGGACUAUGCUCCUCUUCUAGAAGUUCGGUGCAGUCAUCUGACUUAAUUGAUUCAGCGCAUUUAUCUGCAGGCUGGAGUACAAUAGCACGACAUCAGCUCACUGCAACAUCUGCCUCCCGGGUUCAAGCAAUUCUCCUGCCUCAGCUUCCCGAGUUGCUGGGAUUACAGGCGCCUGCCACCAUGCCCAGCUAAUUUUUGUAUUUUUAGUAGAGACGGGGUUUCACCAUGUUGGUCAGGCUGGUCUUGAACUCCUGACCUCAGGUGAUCUGCUUGCCUCGGCCUCCCAAAGUGCUGGGAUUACAGGUGUGAGCCACUGCACCUGGCCCGUGAGAUGGUUUUCUUGGGUAGAAUGAAAGAAGCUUGGCUACUGGGUCCAUUUUAUGUGAACAUGUUGCUCCCUAUUAUAGUCAGUCCCUGGAACCCAUUGUAAAGUCGGUUCUGGGUUUUUGCUUAGCUACCAUGUAGUAACAGUCACAGCCUGUCUCCUGUCACCCUAACACCAUCACCAUUGCCAGUGGAUAUUUUUACCCCUAGUUUAUAGUUAGGAAGCCUGAGACCCAGAGGGAUUAAAGAGCUUUUCCAAAAUCAUAUGGCUGGCAACACUAGUAAUCUGGGCUGCCUGAGUCCUAAACAUCAUUCUACCCCAGCAUUGAAUUCCGAGGCCUCUAGAAUCUUACCUACCUUCCCUGUUUGAAAUGUAUUUGUGGGGGAACAAUUGACCUCAGAAUGAGUAAUUUGUCACUACUCUGAGAAAGUUUCACCAAGUUUCACAUUUUCCCAUUACAAAAGGAAAAUGAGAAAAUAUGUCCUAGAUACUACAGAGAAAAAUACUUCAUUGUCUUAAUUGCCUUUCUAUUUCAAUCAAGGAAGGCAUUUAAUUAUUUCUGAACUACAUUCAAAACUCUCUCUCAAGAAUAUUACUCUCCCCAGGUGAGUUAACCAAAGCCGUGCACAACAUUUCUCAAUCUGAAUAAUAACAUCAAAAAAUUUAUUGAGCACUUUUUAUAUACCAAACUAGUCAAUUCUUUCUGUUUAUGACCUCAUUGAUUCCUCAUGGCAAGUUUAUGAAGUGGAAGCAAUCAUUCUCUCUUCUAACAAAUGAGGAAACUGAGGCACAGAGGGAUGAGAUAGUUUGUCUAAGAUUGUAAGGCAUUAGGUGGUGAAGUCAGCAUUGGAUCCCAGGCCAAGCCCGAGGCCAUCACUCCACCAUGCUGCCUCUCAAGAGAAAGAUUCAGUUUCCCCUUUGAGAUAUCCAUUUAUAAGUACAUGUGCCAAAGCAAUGUGAAGAAACCAACCCAGAUGACUUGAUUAAGCUACAGAAGGGACAUCUGGGGUCUCAAGCCUCUGGAAAUCAAGGUGGAGCAUGUAGAGAUUAUGGGGUCAGGAGAGACAGGGUUUGACUUCUUUGUUUUUUCUUUGAGACCAAGUCUUGCUCUGUUGCCCAGGCUGGAGUGCAGUGGUGUGAUCUUGGCUCAAUACAACCUCCACCUCCUGGGUUCAAGCGAUUCUCCUGCCUCGGGCUACUGAGUAGCUGGGAUUACAGGCGCAUGCCACCAGGCCAGCUAAUUUUUGUAUUUUUAGUAGAGACGGGGUUUCACCAUGUUGGUCAGGCUGGUCUCGAACUCCUGACCUCGUGAUCCACCUGCCUCGGCCUCCCAAAGUGCUGGGAUUACAGGCACGAGCCACCGCGCCCGGCCUGGGUUUGACUUCUUAAGCAACCUGAGGAAUGAUGUCCUUGCUGCUGAGCACAGCUGCCCUGGGCCCUGGAAAACCCACAUGACACUCACUCAGCACCCAAUGCUGGCUUCAUCGUGGCUUUUGGAAACCACGUGGAAAAGAAAUAACUUUUUUUGUGAUCUGUACGUUAUGGCUAUUAUUUUUUUACCUCGCUUAGCUUUUCAAGAGAAUGAAGACCAGUCGACUUAGUAUUUGUACUCUGAAUUCGAAUGGCAUGAACACUUGUGUUGUAUAAGUGAGAAGAAGUAUUUUCUUGUGUGAUGGACUAUAGCCUUCAGAAAGCACCUACUAUUAAACAGAAUAGAGAUUGGAUUUUGAAAUAUGUAGGCCACAUCAGUAGGAAAGUUGACAUUUCAAAUUGCUCACAAGGACUUUAAACUCUACAAUAGGUAAAAUGUGGAGUACCUUAUGUUUUCAGACCAAAUGAUUUUGUAAUUUGAAUUCAAAAUUUUUUUAGUCUUCACAGUAGUCUUAGCAUUAAAAGCAUAGUUAUUUUUAAUAUUUUGAUAAAAUAUUCUAUUUCAUUAAUUUUGUAUAAGGGCAUGUGUGAGAAGCAUUGAUAUUUUUAAAAUAUAAAAAUACAGCCUCUUUCUAAUAAGCAAGAGCAAUUGUUGAUUUUUAAAUUUUGUGUUUUUGGAGGCUUCCAUUCACAAAUCUGAUUGUUUAAAUAAAUGUAUCUCCAGUAAAUAUGUUGGCACUUA